rnacentral:rRNA from 1 species
CACGUAGGGACCAAGCGUUGUCCGGAUUCAUUGGGCGUAAAGAGCUCGUAGGCGGCUCAGUAAGUCGGGUGUGAAACCUCCAGGCUCAACCUGGAGACGCCACCCGAUACUGCUGUGACUGGAGUCCGGUAGGGGAGCGUGGAAUUCCUGGUGUAGCGGUGAAAUGCGCAGAUAUCAGGAGGAACACCGAUGGCGAAGGCAGGUCUCUGGGCCACUACUGACGCUGAGAAGCGAAAGCAUGGGGAGCGAACAGG